AAAAGACCAAAAAAAAACAAAAAACAAAAAACAAAAACUGCAUGUGGCUGGCCCAGCUGCAAAACUGCUUGUUGGAAACAAACAAAAAAAUGAUAGGAAGGUUGCAGAACAGGAAGUGGGUAAAACUAGCACUCUUUGGGUGCCACCUGAGUGCCUGGCAUUAUGCCUCACAGAUGGCUGGUGGAAAGAGAGCAAACCAUCAGGAUUUGGAAUCAGACUGGCUCUGGCUCUGGUCUGAGUGUGGCUUUGUGUAAGUCACUUACACUAUUUGAAUCUCUGUUUGCUUAUCUGUAAAGUGGGGCUAUUAACCCCUACUUUGCAGAGUUGUCAUGAAGACUAGAGCUGGUAAACCUCACUUCCCCAUGGUGAGCCCUGGUGGUCCAGGGCAAGCUGCUCUGUACUUAGAGCUUAGCUCAUGUUUUAGCCUGAGAGGUGGAUGUUAUUGGACGUAUCUUUCUAGAGGAAGAAACGGACGCCCCAAGGGCUAUAUCACUUGCCCAAGUCACAAAACAAUAAGCCGUGGAGGUGGGGAUCAAAGAAAAGUGGUGGAAGACAGUUUAAAAGCGACAUCAUAGGAGACAUCACCCACUUCUCCAGAAGCAUGUUUUAAACUCUCCAGAUGUAUUUGAGAACAGUCAGAGCUGUUCCAUUCAUAUAAAAUGUAGCAGUUUCGAAAUUCUCUAAGUGGGCCUUGGCCGCAGAUCUCACUUGAAAUAGAGUAACAACACAGUCCUAAAUAUCUAUGGCAAACCCUGCCAUAACUAAGCCCUCCUGAUGCAGUUCCAUCAGACUAUCAGACAUUUGUACUGCAAUAAAAGCCCAAAACAAAAGAGCAAAAUAACUUGCAGAUUGUCAAAUGCAGCACCCUAUAAACUCUCCUUAACCUGCCCAUAUCCAAAACACCCCAGCCUCCUGUCCCAAGUUAAUGGAAACCAAACUGGAUUGCAUCAGAUUUCUUUGGGGUGCUUGAGAAAGAAAGAGAGAGAAAGAGAGAGGGAGGGAGGGAGGGAGGAAGAAAGAAAAAAAAAAGCCAAGAUGAUAACAAGAAAUCUACAUUUUUAAUCAGCCCCCUGGUGAGAGGAAUAUGGGUCCUGCCUACAAAAUUAAGACCUCUUGAAGGGAAAACAAUAUGGAAGAAAGGAUGAGAAAAUAUCAGCAGGGAAAGGUUCUAACUGAGGGGGAAGCUAUGUCUCAGGCUUAGUGAUUCUCACUAAAUUUUGGAGUCCUUAUCUAGUUGAUUUUGCUAUUAGGAAUUGGGACUGAUUCAAUGUGGUGCAUAUCAGAGGCUGCUGGGGCUCAGGGGGUCUUAUAGGGAUGUGCUUAAACCUACUGAGGAGCAGAACUCUGGUCUGGUGCCUUCUGUGGAAUCUUAAAGUCACAUUCACAGAUUAAGUGUAUCCCUUAGCAUUUUUCCCCUUUAUGUUAGCAUAAAUGUGUGAUUGUGCGAGCACUUCCACCUACAGAGCAUCUAUAAUUACGGCUGUUUUUUCCAAAGGAGAAUGGAUUCUAAAAAAGUUGUACAAUAUUUCCCUUAUUCAUUAGCCUAUAAUUUGGAUUUCAAAUACCCCAAAAAGUAUUGUAUGCUCUAUAUUGUGAUGUUCCAAUAAUAUCUAACACAGUCUUUCCCUAAUGAAUUACCCAAGCUAAGGCUGACCUCCUAUUCUAGGGCAGCAUUAAAGGCUGCUAUGUUCAAGUUAUUUCCCAUUUUACAGCUUGUGCUGGUUUAGACUGACAAAGCAAAAUGACAAAAUGUAAAGAAAAAUGUACAAUUCAUUUCCCUGAUAUUUUAUUGUUUAAGUUUAAUCAAUGAAACUUCAUUGAUUAAACCUCUCUAUACCUCCCCCCCCACACACACACACAGGCACACACAUGUGAGUGUGUGUAUCUGUUACCUGUUCAUAUGCAUUUGACAGAAUGUUUUCCCUUAAUUUUUGUCUCAUGAUAAGAGGUGAAUUGCGGGGAGGAGGAGGAGGAGGGAAAAUGUUGUUUCCAUGACAAUGCAUUCCAUAGUUACAGCCAGCAGCCACUAUGGUUAACAAAAUGAAUCACUGUUACCUUAAGGUAUGAACACACUUCAUUAUUGGUCUGAAAAGCUAAUUUGGAAGUAUAUUGCAUGGGGGUGUACUGCCAUAUUUUUAGGAGGAGAUAUUACUAGGGAAUGCCAGGAGAUGAUGUAUUCAUUUCAAUAGUCAAAAUAACCACCCUUAAUUAGACAUUUCAGUGAUUGUUAACAUUCACAGUUCUUCCUAAUCAGCAUCACUUUUGCAAAGUGAUACAUGACAACUACACACUAUUAAACAUUUUUUUCUUAUGACCACUUUCCUCAAAAUGGACUCACAAUCACAAAAGUUAGAAUUAUCAAGAAAUGUGACCAGAGCUUAAUUUUCAUCUUUUAUUUAUUGUUAUCCUUAUUCUUUCUAAUUGGAAAUCAUAACAAGAUCAGAGGCAUUAAUUACUGACUUAUCUUCUUUCUUUCUUUGUUGAUCCCUUCCACAGCAAUUUUUAAGAAGAGGUGGUUCAUGUUAGAAGGGACAAGAGGGUACUGGACACCAGGAGUCGUGGUGACUAUCUGACUUUGAACACGCUAUUCAGCCUCUCUGAACCCCAAUUCCCUCGUCUAUUAAGAUGAAAUGGGUGUACUAGAACGUCUGUAAGUUUGUUUCCAGUGCUGAAUGAAGUUCUCUGAGUGGUCUUACAAAUACAGCAUCUUAAGAAUGUGAAGGAAAUUUGAGAAGUCAUUUUAUUCAGUCGCCUGUCUUUGGAAAAUAAACUCUCCUAUAGUGCUUACUAUUUAACAUGCUCUACUAUAGUGUUUGCUGUGGGCAGUGUUUUAAAUUCAGCAAGGUGCCAGAGCCAGAUUCUGCUCUUGAGAGCCAAUUCUGUGUACCUGUGUUCACCUCUCCAUGCGAUGAUACCAUGUUGGUAGGUUGGAAUCCACCGUGGAGGAAGUGGUUACAAUAUACAAUUUGAAAAACACUGCAUGUCAAGAUUAUUUUCUGCUUCCGAGAAACAUCUACCAGCACAGCACCAGUUUCAGUACUUUAUGAACAUUAACUUAUUUAAUUCUCACAACCACUCAGUCUUAUAAAAAAAGGAAACCGAAUCAGAGAAACUAAGUAAUUUGACCAAGCUAACAAAGCUGGCAUACUAGUAACCUAAAUGAACCAACUAACAAAAAGUCUUGAUGGCCUUCCACUACAAAUAUUUAUUUCUUCUUCGUGCUAGACAUCCUUCAUAGUGGGACUAUGACUCUAAUCCAUGUUGUUCCACAAACAGAACAGCAGCUUCCAUCAGGAACAUGAUGUUCUCAUGGUAAAAGAUAAAAUGAUCUAUGGCUGAACAUGCAGUGGCUCUUAGCAUUUCUGUUCAGAUAUUAAAACAUCUUCUUUGUCUAUUUGUUUGUUUUUACAGGCACACCUGCAGCACAUAGACGUUCCCGGGCUAUUGGAGCUGCAGCUGCCGGCCUACGCCACCACCACGGCAACACCAGAUCCAAGCCACAUCUGCGACCUGCGCUGCAGCUUGUAACAAUGUCGAAUCCUUAACCCAACGAGGGAGGGCAGGGAUCAAACUCCCAUCCUCACAGAGACAAUGCUGGGUUCUAAAGCCUCUGAGCCACAAGAACUCCCAAAAUGUUUCUUCGUUCACAUUAGCCACGGCAUGUCACAUGGCCAAAACCCUAUGAGCCAGUCUGAUGGGGGAGGGUAAACCUCUCACGGGGAGGAAGGAGAGAACAUUUGGGAACAGUAAUUUAAAAGAUAACAGCUUAGCUGGGUGAUAGAAUGGGAAUUUGAACCCGAGAAAUCUGCCAUAUUCUAAAAGCAGGCCAUUCUGCCUGUUACAGCUCACACACCUCUAUUUCUCACCUAUUUUCCAUAAUAGGGUUUGCUAUUUAGUAACUCUUUAAGGGAAUUCUUCCCUGUGACUCCUAAAAAGAAAAUAAUGUUGAUUUAGAAAACACAAGAACUUCGGAGUGAAUCUGACAUACUUGGUUUUGCCACUAAUAACUCUGCAAUUUCAACCCUAUACUCCUUUCCCUCUACUCCCUUUCACUGAGAAGCAAAGACCACUUAUUUCCCUUAACCUUAUUACAGAUGUUUUCAUGUGAUUAAUUCAUCAAUAAAUUUGUAACACAAACAAUGUUUUUUUAGCAUUGAGCUUCCUGACAUAUGUAAGGCAGAGAGGCAUAUGAAUAUAUCUUUCUGCCAUCAAUGAGUUUAUAAACUUCUUGGAGAGACUGUCAUGAAAUAAAAACUAACAGUAACUCUUUUGAAGAUUCAGAAAGCAUAUGCAAUUAAGUACUAAUAAAUGCACUUUAAAUCCAUAAGAAUGCUUGACUAACCUAGUUAACGUCCCUGAACUAUCAUUUCCUGCUCUGUAAAAUGGUGAUAACAUUACAGUAUUGCUAUAAAGCUUCAAUGAGAUAAUGUAUUUCAAAAUAUCUGUCACUCUUCUCUAGUUUGUGCUGAAUGCUCGGUAACUUCAAGGAGAUUUAAGUUUUUUGACUUUUUUUUCCCAAUAAAAAUCAGCUGGAAAGAAUGACUAAACCUAUGAGAUCUUCCCAAUAGGCAUCAUUUCUUUAUACUAAACUCUUUAACCUUUCUUCACAAAUUUUACUCUACCAAAGACUCCUCAGGCUAUUUCUCAGGUCUCCCAUGUCCAUUUUACUGAGGAACACACAACUGUGGUGAGGGUUUGCAUUAGAGACAGCAGGACCUGUAAAAACGGACUCUAAAAUCCAUCAUGCUUUCCCCCUGAUUUUUGUCUUCUCUCUAAUUUCUGAGUGGGCCAGUCAUACUUAGAGAUUGUUGACCUUUAUUUGAAUCAUACUUAACCGUGUUUACUUAUCUUCACCGGGAAUAAUUUCAUUUGUAGUUUGGAAUGAUUGACUCAACUGAAUGAAUAAAGAACAAGAAAAUGUAUGAGUUAGGCGAGGCUUUCCAUAGCACCUACAAAAGUCCCAGGUGAACCCAGGAAGAUCUUUGUCUCCUAAUUCAGCCCCCCAGCUUGCUAGUUGAAAGGAUACAAUCUUUAUUGAGGAAAUGUCAGCCCACUGAUUCAGAAUCAAUUUUGGCAUUUUGUUUUAGCAGCAAAUAUUUUGAAAUAAUAAUUGUCCUUAGUUGUAGUAAGGUAAAAGGCACAAUUUUGCCUUUAAGACAUCUCAUAAUAUUCACUUUCACCCUAGUGCCAUUUUGAAAAAGCAACUCUAAUAAAAUAUCACUCUCUGUUCUCCCUGAGUGAAGUUCCUCAGUACAGUAGGAAAAAUCAACUGAACAGGUCUUAUUGUUGAUCAAAUUUGAUUUCACUGUUGCAGGAAAAAAGUUUGGGUCUUGGGUUCCAAGCUUACCUUUUAUACUUACUUUGUAAUUCUGAGCUAAUCAGUUAGUCUCUUUGGCAGUUAAGUUUCUUAUCCAUUAAAAAAGAGGAGGGGUUGUUGAAUAAUAACACUUGUAUUACAGGGUUCCUUUGAGGAUUAAUUAAAAUAUCAUGUGUGAAAGUAUCUAUAAAAGUGCCUGGUAUAUGUGUAUGUGUGUAUGGAUGAAUAUAUAUAUAUAUUCAUAUGUGUAUUCAUUUUCAAAGACAGCAGUUAUUUUUAAUACUACUUUUUCUAAAUACAGAAGUAAAAGUUUAGUAAGGAAAUAAUUUAAAAAUAUACUCAGGCAGCAAAAAAAGCUCCUUGAAAAUACUCAAAAUUCCACUGCCAGAGAUAACUAAUCUUAAUACUUAAGAGGGUACAUCUCCAGUAAUGUUUCAACAAAAUUACAUUCAAACUGUAUAUUAUCAUAUAGGCUAAGUUUGAAAAUAUUAUACCUUUGAUAGCUAGCCAUGCUUUUAGCCCAAAAGUCUUCCUACAAAAAUACCAUUAGUGAUGGCACAGUAUUUCAAUAUUGCACGGUGUAUUUCACAAGCCCCUUCUUGUCAGGAUUCAAAAAUAUUUCUAAAUUCAAUAUUAUGAAAAAAAUUGAAAUGUUCUUGAGGACAUAUAUUUGCACAUAUCUGUAACAACGUUAACAAGCUAAAACUUCUAGAUAAGCAAAUUUUGGUGCAAAGAGCAUGAACAUUUAAAAUUUUUAAUGUGUAAUAGACAAUUUAUGUUUGUAUCAUUUAAAAUUUUUAUGGAACUCAUAAUUAUUCUGCCUAAAUAAUAUACUAUAGAAGAUACUUCAGCCAAACUCUGCUGGUAGAUUUUUAUUUUGAUUUGUCU
rnacentral:lncRNA from 1 species